rnacentral:misc_RNA from 1 species
GAAAAUAAUGAGUGCAACUCUUAUCUUACCAGUAUUAAAGCAAGAUCAAAUUUGGAAAGAUCAAACGAAGUUUGAAGAUAUUUUUGAUGUAGAUCAUUUCAUUGAGUAUCUGAAGGAUGAUGUGAGAAUCGUGCGUGACAUUCCUGAUUGGUUUACAGACAAAGCAGAGCUGUUCACCAGUAUAAGACGUACAGUGAAGAAUAUCCCAAAG